rnacentral:tRNA from 1 species
AUUUAAGUAGUUUAUGUAAAAUAUGGAUUUGUGGUUUCUAUGAAGUUAAAUUUAACCUUA